rnacentral:rRNA from 1 species
AGAGUUUGAUCAUGGCUCAGGAUGAACGCUGGCGGCGUGCCUAACACAUGCAAGUCGAGCGAUCUUCUUCGGAAGAGAGCGGCGGACGGGUGAGUAACGCGUGGGUAACCUGCCUCAUACACAUGGAUAACAUACCGAAAGGUAUGCUAAUACAAGAUGAUAUAAGAGAUUCGCAUGGAUUUCUUAUCAAAGCUCCGGCGGUAUGAGAUGGACCCGCGUCUGAUUAGCUAGUUGGUAAGGUAACGGCUUACCAAGGCGACGAUCAGUAGCCGACCUGAGAGGGUGAUCGGCCACAUUGGAACUGAGACACGGUCCAAACUCCUACGGGAGGCAGCAGUGGGGAAUAUUGCACAAUGGGCGAAAGCCUGAUGCAGCAACGCCGCGUGAGCGAUGAAGGCCUUCGGGUCGUAAAGCUCUGUCCUCAAGGAAGAUAAUGACGGUACUUGAGGAGGAAGCCCCGGCUAACUACGUGCCAGCAGCCGCGGUAAUACGUAGGGGGCUAGCGUUAUCCGGAUUUACUGGGCGUAAAGGGUGCGUAGGUGGUUUCUUAAGUCAGGAGUGAAAGGCUACGGCUCAACCGUAGUAAGCUCUUGAAACUGGGAAACUUGAGUGCAGGAGAGGAAAGUGGAAUUCCUAGUGUAGCGGUGAAAUGCGUAGAUAUUAGGAGGAACACCAGUAGCGAAGGCGGCUUUCUGGACUGUAACUGACACUGAGGCACGAAAGCGUGGGGAGCAAACAGGAUUAGAUACCCUGGUAGUCCACGCCGUAAACGAUGAGUACUAGGUGUCGGGGGUUACCCCCCUCGGUGCCGCAGCUAACGCAUUAAGUACUCCGCCUGGGGAGUACGCUCGCAAGAGUGAAACUUAAAGGAAUUGACGG